CUAACGAUUAACAACUAACCCACUGUCCUGGACAAACAGCCCAGACAGCUGAGGUAUGUGCCCAGGACAGCAUGCUUGAACUUUACUUGGAUAUAAGCACAAAAAUAAGUUGAAAUGAAUUAAAUUGUAGCAAAUGAUGACUUUAACUGCUCACUAUAGUCAGUCAAUACAAACAGUGGUUGCAGGAUAAAACAACAUAAAACUGUUUGUUUGAUAUACCAUGCUGUACUGUGUAAGGUCACCCAGUACAUAAAACUGUUUGUUUGAUAUACCAUGCUGUACUGUGUAAGGUCACCCAGUACAUAAAACUGUUUGUUUGAUAUACCAUGCUGUACUGUGUAAGGUCACCCAGUACAUAUGAAGUGGUCAUCCAAAAAUCGAUUGAAUACCAUUACAUUGUUGAUAUAAACCAGUAAUAUGAAGUUAUUAUGGUUUGACUUAUGAGUUUUGUAAAAACACUUUUCAAUGAUCAACAUUUUCACAAAUGUACAUUAUGGAUAAGAUGAUUAAUGUUGGUUAACCUUUUUAAAACAUAAAAUGUUGAUAAAAAUAUUCCUUUCAAAAUCAACACUGUUUUAAUGCACCACAUGCUUUUAGGAAGGUAAUAGGGGUAGUGUGUGUGUGUGCGCGUGGGGGGGAGGGGGGGGGACAAGUAUCAAAAAGGGAUAUUGUUUGUGCGUUCGAGAAAAUGUUACUUGUGAAUGGCAGUUUACACACUAGUUCAAGUGCGUGAACAAUCCAGGAACAUUAUCAAGCAAUACAUUCAUGACAUGAAAUAAUAUACUUGGCAGAAAAAUGUCCCUGUGCGCAAAUAAAAUGGUCUCAAACCAACUGUUAAGUUGGUAAAUAGGUGAAAUUUAUGACUCACGUGAACAGAUCAUAAAUGUACAAAUCGUAUCAUAAAUUUUACGAAUGAAUAAAUAAUUUUUAAAAACAAUUUGACAGACUUAACCUUUCCAAAGAUAUAUCUUGUGCAAUAUAUCCACAGGAACCUUUUUCUGUUAGUGUAUAUUCAGUUCAGUGUUAACAUAAAGCAAGCCUCGAUAUUUAACAACAAAAUAUAUCAACUAAAAUAACAAAUGUAGGAUUUAAUUUCAAUAAAAAUUAUAGCAUUCUAUUAUUUUAUUAACUUGAUUAUAAUGUACAAGAGCUUAAUGUUUUUUACACCCCACCCCCACCCCAAUUCCUUUCAAAGCUAAAACUUCAUCUCUUCGUCUUUAACACUAUUCCACCUCAAUACACAAAAUAAAAUUCCCAAAAUAAACUUCUAUUUACUUCAUGUGUGUUUACUAUCAGUAGAUACGGUUAGCUGCCUCAAAGUAAUUUGAUGCCAUUUUAUAAAUACAUUGCUGAAGUAAACAAAUCAGAAACAUCGUGGUGUAUCGUAAUCAUCUAAUUAGAGUUAUGACAGGAAGAAACAUUAACUUGAUAACUAUUUUAAAUGCUUAAAAUAAUUAUAUUUAGUUUGUAGCCAUUAAAAUAUAUUUAUUGAAAUAUAUAUUAAAAUUACAACAUACGUUUUUCUAUUAUCUGUAGAUCUAAAAGUUAAAGUUUUGUUUUCUUUCAUGACCUCAUUAGAGUAAAUUCAUUAAAUUAAUAAGUGGCUACUGAAUGUCACACAUUUUUCCCAUUAGCAGCAAGUGAUUUUUUUAUAUGCACUAUCCCAGACAGGAAAGCAAAAAAGACAAAUUUGUUGUUUAACACCAUUUAAACACAUUGAUGUAUUAAAAUCAUCCACUAUUAUAUACUUUGAAAGGAAACGUGCUACAUUUUUGCAUUAGUAGCAACAUAUCUUUUAUAUGCACCAUCUCACAGACAGGAUAGCACAUAAAACUGCCUUUGAUAUACCAAUCGUGGUGUACUGGCCCACCAAUGGGGAUCGAUCCCAGACUGACCAUGCAUCACGUAUAAUGCUUUGUAUGUUGAAUUUAUAACAUUAAUAACUCAAACAUGUAUACAAGUAUAUGAAUUAUUUUAAUGACUACAAACUCAGCAUAGUCCCUUUAUAUCAAACACACUCAAGAUACUGCAGUAUUCCAUUUUUGCUAUUUAACUGAAUAUUCAACAUUGUUGAACAAUGUUUUUCAAUCCUAAACCACUGUAUUUCACUUGCAGAAAUAAAUAUUAUUUAAACCAAUAAUGUGUUGCUUAUUUAAAAUAUGAAUAAAAAAAAAAAAAAUCAAAAAAAAAUGUGUCAAAAUUCUAUGUAUGAUAGUAUA